CUGCAGUGAUGAUGGUAGAUGUGACUGACCUGGUAUUGCUGACCUCCAGGUUUGCUCUGACCAGGAAAUGAACAAUGUUAAUCUUCUCUCUGAGCAG
ensembl:snoRNA Z30 small nucleolar RNA